ACGGCCGCGGGAUCCUCCACCGUGCAAAGGUAGCAUAAUCACUUGUCUCCUAAAUAGAGACUAGUAUGAACGGCCAAAUGAAGAUUUACCUGUCUCUUGAAGCCCAUCUAUGAAACUGAUCUUUCAGUACAAAAGCUGAAAUUUAAACACAAGACGAAAAGACCCUGUGGAACUUAAAGCCAAGGUCAACAAACUAUGACCAACCGCUUUUAGUUGGGGCAACUUUGGAAAAAAACAAAACUUCCAAUUAACAAGCUAGGCAGACACGCCAAAAUAUAUUAAUAACACUAGACCCAGUAUUACUGACUAAAGAAAAAAGCUACCCCAGGGAUAACAGCGCCAUCCCCUCAUAGAGCCCCCAUCGACGAGCGGGGUUUACGACCU
rnacentral:rRNA from 1 species